UAUCUAACACCUUUCUUCUUUUUAAAAAAGCUUUGGCUAAUUUUGGUACCUUAGACUUUCAUCUGAAUUUUAGCAUUUACUUGUCAAUUUCUGGGGGAGGAAAGAUAGCUGGAAUUCUGGAAUUUGAUAGGGAUUUAGUUGAAUCUGUAGAUCAGCUGGCGAAUUUUGCCAUCCGAAAAGUAUUAAGUCUUUCAAUCAACAAUCAUGGUAUAUCUUUCAAUUUAUUUGGGUCUUUAAUUUCUUUCAAGCAAUAUUUUGCACUUUUCAGUGUACAACUUUUUGAUUUCUUUUGUUAAAUUUAGGCUUAGAUAUUUUAUUAUUUUGAUGCAUUGGCUCCCUGAGAAACUCUAAUUGGCAAUUAUAUGUCCCUUAAUAGUAAAAGUGGAAAUAUGGAUUAGCUUUUACUUCUCCAGAACAGUAUUCUUGUUGGAUAUAACAAGUUAGUUAAAUGGGGUAAUAAGACAAAAUUGUUAAUGAAAAUAAAGCCGAUUAGACUGCUUUUUAAAUCUGGUAGUGCCCUCUGCUGGGGAGGAAAAGCCGACGUGUACCUGUACGUGGAUGUCUUCGUAGGCAUGGGUAUGUAUGUGCAUUAGAAUGUGUAUGUGUAAGCCUUGAAGUGUGAGGUGGUAUUGGGCAAGGCCACUGGCCAUGGAAAGAGAGAAAAGGAGUUUCUUUUAGUUUUAAGGAUAUUCAUGUGGAUGCUUCAAAUGUUUCUUAUUUCAAAAUGACCUUUUAUUGAACAUUCUCUUUCAUCUUUGAUUUCUAGAUUUGUUGACCUUCUUUUUAUUCUUAGUUUGUUAUUUUUAGUCUCCUUCAUCUCUUAUAAUGGAUAAGAGUUAAAAUUCUGUCCAUUCUGUAUCUCAAGAGUCCAUUCUCCCCUUUUUCUGUUUGGUCCCAUUCUUGGGCAGUCCUCAAGAGUCUAAUUUUAGUCAGAAUCCUGCUAAGGUGGUUAGCCAGCAUACCUUCAAUAUCUGAGUGCUCUUGAUGUAAGACCAAAUUCCUAUCCCCGACAACUAUCCCCCAGAUGAUUUCUGUUCAUCCUGGAGGGCCUUCAGCAAGAGUUCUGCUAGGACAGUCUAGCCAGAAUCCUCCCUUACCCUGACGUCUCCUUUUCGUAAUUCUCCAUCCAGUUCCACUCCCCCUCCCUGCUUCUUGGCUAUAAACUCACUUUUCCUGCUUGGAGUUGGAGUUGAGACCAAUACGUCUCCCCUACCACAGUUCCCCGUUGCGGCAGUCCCCCUGAGUGAAGUCUGCCUCAUAGUUUGAGCUAUAAGCCUGAAUAACAUUUUCUAUAACAAAAUUCACUACAAUAGUAAUAAACAAUUUUAUUACACAUCUCUUUCAGCACAGAGAUGUUAUGGUUUGUGUCAUCAUCAACAGUAGCUUUCUUAGUUUACUGUCUGAACCGGGACCCGUUAAUAUGUGAAAGAGCAUGCUAUUAAUAAUUUUGCCAGAACAGUAAGCCUGAACCAGGGCUGUCUUGGGAGCCCAGAGCGCUUGACUGCUCUACAUGGUCGACUCUCUGACGCUCGCCUUUAUUGUCAUCGGGCAGCAGUAGGGGGGAUGGGAGGAAAUCAUCGACCAUUUUUUUGUCAUGACCUCAUUUCAAGACCACAUCAAUGCUGGGGCACACAGGGAUGAUCUAGAAUGCCCCUUCCAACCAGAUCUUCCCUGGAUCUGUGUUAGCUACAUUUACAGUUUCCUCAGUUAUUGCCAGAUGGUAGCGACAUCCCCGGUGGUCACACGUGUGAGAAACGUGGAGAUAUAUCCUGAGUCAUACUCAUGUCAAAUCUUGGAGAGCAAACGGUGCGAGUUUCUAAUUUUAAAGAGGAGAAAACUGAAUCAUAGAGCUAAGAGGGCACUUGCCAACACCUUAUAGUUAAAAAAAAAAGCCAGAGUUUAGAUUAGGAAGCAGGUAUCCUGACUCUCAUUCCACUGUCUGUGGAUCCAAGAUCUCCAAGAGAGAGAAGGGGCCCACUGAGUGUACGAAAUCACAGAGUCAAACUCCAUGAUCCCCUGGAUUUGAGACUUGAAUUUCCUGAAGAGUCUCUGAAUGGGGAUUACUAAUCAGUGUUUCUCCUGUUUCCUUCCUUUCUAGAGGUUUGUGGUUGCUGUUCCCUCACAUUAUUGAAUCACUGCCCUGGAGAGACAGUCAGUCUUGUGGGGGAGGCAGAUCUGUGACAAAAGGAGGAGAAUAAAUCUCUAGCGGUCAACACUCUGUUGUUCCACAAACAAGGAAGUCAUUCGUGUCUGUAGAGGGAAAGAGUCUUCAGAGGGGUCGUGUUUGAGAUAAAAAUCAGUAGUAAUUUCUUAGAGUUUUGGCAUUUCCAAAGCCCAUGUCCUGAAGCAUGGCAUGCCCACUAUGAUAAUUUAAGAGCUAAUUUGUAGCCUUGCCCUCUCCCGCUUGCACGUGGAGCCACAACUAUCCACCUGCCUCUUUCUUUCUUCUGAAGCACAAGACUGAGAAGUGGCCUUCUCAAAUGCCUCCCUAGAGCUCAGGGGAGAGGAGAAGAACAGUGAGUUUGCACGCUGGACAGAACUGGUUCACCUGCACUAUUCCAAUGCCACCAGCAUGGCGAUCACAGCUGAGUCCGCCCGCUCUGCGGCAAGAUGGGUCUUAGGGUGGAAUAUGUCCCAUUGGGUCUUUCAACCGACAGUCGUUCCUUGGGCAUCCCAACUCGGCUGCAGUGUUUUGGUAUCGGAAGGAAAUCAGAAAUUCCAUCUCUUGCUUCAGAGUCUGUGGGCACCAGUAAACAAGUAUAUGACCAGAAAUUGGA